UGGCCUGGGGCUAUGAGAAUGGCGGUGGUUGUGAAGGGUUUUGUGUAGACGGCGUCGAUCUCCACGACGGUGAGAGAGUGGCUGGCGAUGGCGAAGAAGAGCUCGUCAUUGAGCGCAGCAUUGAUGAUCCUUAACAGAUGGGAAAUUUGCUAAUCUCAUAUCAUAAUGUAAAGAGAGAAGAAAACCCCACAUCAAAUUGGUACUGCUUGACUGCUGAUUCGGCCAGAAAAGGGAGAGACCCAGCAAAGAAUGUGAGGAGAAACAGCAAUCCCAGUUUGUGACCGUCUGCAAAAUGCUUUGGAGUAAGAUGUUGGUUUUGUGGAGCUGGAUUUGAUGUUUCUUCUUCUUCUUCUCCUUCUUCAUGGGUUGGUUGAGGGAAAGAGACGAGUGAUAGGGAACAUAUAACAGCUACGCUACCUGAAUUAAUUUCACAAGCCGCCUUCAACUACCAAAUAUUUGGGCCUUCAUCUGCUUGGACUCAACAAAUGGGCUUGGGUUUUGAAUUAUAUACAACUUGGGCCUUGAUCAAGCCUUAAUAAGAAUGCAAAAAGUGAGAGGCAAUGAAUGUGAUUGAGCUUAAUGUGUCUGUUCUUAUUUAAACCAGAUCAUCAUCACAUUGAUCACAUAUUCACUAAUGUUUGUCAAAUCAAGUCCUUGGUUUGGUGCUGUAAUCAGCAAUAUAAUAUUGUGAAU